CGAGGACGAACGCUGGCGGCGUGCCUAACACAUGCAAGUCGAACGGGGUAAUUACUUCGGUGAUUACUUAGUGGCGAACGGGUGAGUAACGCGUGAGAAACCUGCCCUUCAGUGGGGAACAACAGUUGGAAACGACUGCUAAUACCGCAUAAUGUCACGAGGCCGCAUGACCUUGUGACCAAAGGAUUUAUUCGCUGAAGGAUGGACUCGCGUCCGAUUAGCUAGUUGGUGAGGUAACGGCUCACCAAGGCGACGAUCGGUAGCCGAACUGAGAGGUUGAUCGGCCGCAUUGGGACUGAGACACGGCCCAGACUCCUACGGGAGGCAGCAGUGGGGGAUAUUGCACAAUGGAGGAAACUCUGAUGCAGCAAUGCCGCGUGAGGGAAGACGGUCUUCGGAUUGUAAACCUAAGUUGUCAGGGACGAAUAAUGACGGUACCUGAAGAGAAAGCUCCGGCUAACUACGUG
rnacentral:rRNA from 1 species